rnacentral:rRNA from 1 species
GCUGGCCUUUCGGGGCAUGUGCACGCCUGGCUCAUCCACUCUUCAACCUCUGUGCACUUGUUGUAGGUCGGCGGAAAGGCACGGUAAGCGCAAGCUUACUCGUUGCUUGGAAGCCUUCCUAUGUUUUAUUACAAACGCUUCAGUUUAAGAAUGUAACCCUGCGUAUAACGCAUUUAUAUACAACUUUCAGCAACGGAUCUCUUGGCUCUCGCAUCGAUGAAGAACGCAGCGAAAUGCGAUAAGUAAUGUGAAUUGCAGAAUUCAGUGAAUCAUCGAAUCUUUGAACGCACCUUGCGCUCCCUGGUAUUCCGGGGAGCAUGCCUGUUUGAGUGUCAUGGUAUUCUCAACCUUCAUAACUUUUUGUUAUCGAAGGCUUGGACUUGGAGGCUUGUGCUGGCUGCUCGCGCAGUCGGCUCCUCUUAAAUGCAUUAGCGUGAGUGUAACGGAUCGCUUCGGUGUGAUAAUUAUCUGCGCCGUGGUCGUGAAGUAACAUAAGCUUGCGCUUCUAACCGUCCUUCAGUUGGACAACUUACUUUGACAUCUGACCUCAAAUCAGGUAGGACUACCCGCUGAACUUAA